rnacentral:rRNA from 1 species
UACGAAGGGGGCUAGCGUUGCUCGGAAUUACUGGGCGUAAAGCGCACGUAGGCGGAUCUUUAAGUCAGGGGUGAAAUCCUGGAGCUCAACUCCAGAACUGCCUUUGAUACUGAGGACCUUGAGUUCGGGAGAGGUGAGUGGAACUGCGAGUGUAGAGGUGAAAUUCGUAGAUAUUCGCAGGAACACCAGUGGCGAAGGCGGCUCACUGGCCCGAUACUGACGCUGAGGUGCGAAAGCGUGGGGAGCAAACAGG